rnacentral:misc_RNA from 1 species
GAUGAAGAACGUAGCGAAAUGCGAUAAGUAAUGUGAAUUGCAGGAUUCAGUGAAUCAUCGAAUCUUUGAACGCACAUUGCGCCCGCCAGUAUUCUGGCGGGCAUGCCUGUUCGAGCGUCAUUUCAACCAUCAAGCCCCAGGCUUGUGUUGGGGACCUGCGGCUGCCGCAGGCCCUGAAAACCAGUGGCGGGCUCGCUGUCACACCGGGCGUAGUAGAUUUUAUCUCGCUCUGGGCGUGCUGCGGGUUCCGGCCGUUAAAAAACCCUUUUAACCCAAGGUUGACCUCGGAUCAGGUAGGAAUACCCGCUGAACUUAAGCAUAUCAAUAAGCGGAGGA